rnacentral:rRNA from 1 species
CCUACGGGAGGCUGCAGUGGGGAAUAUUGGACAAUGGGGGGAACCCUGAUCCAGCCAUGCCGCGUGUGUGAAGAAGGCCCUCGGGUUGUAAAGCACUUUCAGUGAGGAAGAACGCCUGGUGGUUAAUACCCAUCAGGAAAGCCAUCACUCACAGAAGAAGCACCGGCUAACUCCGUGCCAGCAGCCGCGGUAAUACGGAGGGUGCGAGCGUUAAUCGGAAUUACUGGGCGUAAAGCGCGCGUAGGUGGCUUGAUAAGCCGGUUGUGAAAGCCCCGGGCUCAACCUGGGAACGGCAUCCGGAACUGUCAAGCUAGAGUGCAGGAGAGGAAGGUAGAAUUCCCGGUGUAGCGGUGAAAUGCGUAGAGAUCGGGAGGAAUACCAGUGGCGAAGGCGGCCUUCUGGACUGACACUGACACUGAGGUGCGAAAGCGUGGGUAGCAAACAGGAUUAGAUACCCCGGUAGUC